CAAUAAAUACCGCCGGGUAUACGUCAUUAUGUGCUUCGUUAGGCCUUAGAAGAAGCAUGUAGUGACGUUUUUUUCUU
rnacentral:ncRNA from 1 species